rnacentral:sRNA from 1 species
UAAUACGAUGGGCAGUUUGGUGACGGC